AUUGAACGCUAGCGGCAUGCCUUACACAUGCAAGUCGAACGAGUGGCGGACGGGUGAGUAAUAUAUCGGAACGUGCCCAGUCUAGGGGGCUAACUACUCGCAAAAGUGGCUAAUACCGCUUACUAUUGGAGCGGCCGAUAUUGGAUUAUCUAGGUGGGGGGGUAAAGGCUCACCAAGGCAACGAUCCGGAGCUGGUCUGAGAGGACGACCAGCCACACUGGGACUGAGACACGGCCCAGACUCCUACGGGAGGCAGCAGGGGGGAAUUUUGGGCAAUGGGGGAAACCCUGAUCCGGCCAUCCCGCGUGUAUGAGAAGGCCUUCGGGUUGUAAAGUACUUUUGGCAGAGAAGCGGUAUCUGCAGAAUAAGCACCGGCUAACUACGUGCCAGCAGCCGCGGUAAUAC
rnacentral:rRNA from 1 species